GUGUGCAGGGCAGGAGGUCUGUGAUGAGGCAGCCUUCACUGCAGCCCCAUGUCCCACACUCAUGCACAUUAAUUCUUUUCUUAAUAUAAAUUGUUGUGUUCUUGUUCUACAACCACAAGGACUUCCAGCCUGCCAAAAAACACCCUGCUAUGCCUCAGCACUGAGGGCCCUUGCUGCUGCCUCCAGGUGACCACUCACACGUUGGGACUUCCGCCCUGCCAAAAAACACCCUGCUAUGCCUCAGCACUGAGGGCCCUUGCUGCUGCCUCCAGGUGACCACUCACACGUUGAUGUGCCCAAUAUUCCUGGAUGCCAGAAACCAGGAAAUGCUGUGUGGUGGAAGGGCUUUUUUGUGAGAAAAUGGGCCAAAACUGUCUAUUGCUGGGCUCAUUUGAUUGGGCCUCAGAGCAUUUUGAUGAGUAAGGAAAGCCACUGUGAAGCCUUCUGGAAUGGGGUAACUAAGGGACUUCCGGCCUGCCAAAAAACACCCUGCUAUGCCUCAGCACUGAGGGCCCUUGCUGCUGCCUCCAGGUGACCACUCACACGUUGGUAAGUGCUGGGCUUCCUGCAGCUUUGCACUUAUAGUAGCGGCCGUUUCCCUGUGCUGGUGUUAUUUGUGUCUUCUGUUGUUAUUUCCUGGCUCUGCUGUUAUUUGUGAUGUGUUGCUGUAUUCCUGCUUUGCAAAUGUGCCCCCCGUUCCUGGAUGCCAGAAACCAGGAAAUGCUGUGUGGUGCAAGUGCUGUCUUGUGAGAAAAUGGGCCAAAACUGGCUAUUGCUGGGCUCAUUUGAUUGUGCCUCAGAGCAUUCUGGUGAGUAAGGAAAGCCACUGUGAAACUUUCUGGAAUGGGGUAACUAAGGUCGGCCAAAGUUAAACUGUGAUGUUUGAGAUGCAUUUACACAAGGUCAUGGUGAGUCCUCACCUGCUGAGCAGCGGCCAUCAGCAGCACUGAUGGUGCGACUAAGAGAGUUGGGAAAGAGAGAUGAGCUCUCAGGUUUGGAAGUUCUUCCUACCUUUAAAAACAAAGGCAUCACUGUUUAGUAUAUGUAGAGGCUGUGCUGAAAUUGGUCUGUAUUUAGUUUAUUUCUGUUAAACAAUAAUCAAUGGGAUAUGGCUGAGGAGAAUGUAGACAAAGUCCUGGAGGGAAGGGAGAGUCUGACAGGACUUGGAACAGGGCUCAGGAGGACGUGAGUUUGAGAUGAGCGAUGUUGGUGCUUCCUGUGGGGAUUUCAGUUGGAAAAGUGGGAGGGAUUUCCCACCAUGGAUCCCUGGUCAGAUAGAGAGAUAUAUUUGAAUAUAGCUGGAGUCAAUUUCUUUUAUUUGAAAUAUUCUUUUAUUUGAGAACUGUGAAUGAAAGCUAAGAAAAAAAAACCUGAGAGCAUUAAGAAUUAGUAGCUUCUAAGAGGGAAUACCUUGGAAGUGAGAGGUAGGUUGGGGUAUGAGAGGUGAGUUUUGGGUGAGGCUGAUGUGUAGGCAUAGAAGGGUCAUCCAAAUGGCCGCGCUCCAUCAGGGCAGCUGUGUGUGUUGCUGAUGGGAUCAGGGCGGUGCUUGAGGAGGACGCCUGUGUGCCUUCUGCUGAGCAGCCACGCAGCACUGCUUGCUUACGGUGAGCUCCGUCCUGCAAGGGAUGGGCUUGUGGUGAGCGCGAGUGACGCGUGGCUGUGUUGAUUUCAGCACUGCUGAUGAUUCCUGCUGUUGGUAUUGGAAGAUCUGUCCACUUUAGCAAGGAGGAACUAAAAAUAUCAAUGAAGAUUUCUGAAUUUACUUUUAAAUCGCAAUCUUGCAUUUGAAAUUGAGGUUUCAUAACAGUGUAGAAGAAUACGGAUUUCUGGUUUAAGGCAGCAUCUGUUAAAGGAUACGUGUGGGCUGUAAGCUGACUAAGUGCCCAUCAGGAUCGAUCUCCCUCCAUGAUUCCCCCCCCCCAUUUAGUUUCCCUGUCAGUACUGUGGAUUGCUUUCAGUGAAUUACAAUGUUGAGCCAGAGCCCAUUCCCUGGAGGAGGGGGCUGUGCU